CCAAUUAAUAACCAGAUUUAUCCCACUUUAUCUCUCUAUUUCUUUCUUUCUUUCUCUCAGUGCCUCUCAAUUCAGGUUUGACUUGAAUUCAAAGCCAAUUUUAAAAGCUGUCGCUAUCAAAGUCAGUCAUUUUGUUGUAAAAGUUAUUUUGUGAAUACAUAUUAAACAAAUCUAAGUAUUARAUAUAUUGAAACAGUAGUUAUACCAAAAAUCAAUAUCUAUUUGUAAAUCCAGUAAACGUUGAUUUCAAUUGAUUGUCAAUCAUUUGAAACUUUCUGAUCGCAAAUCUCAAGAGUGCUGACCGAUCAAAAAAGUGUAGAUUCCAAGUGCUGUCUCAUUAGGACUAUUGAACAAUAAUACCUAUUUGUUUGUCUAUAUAUUGAGUUUAGUCAUGUACUAAUGUCAACCUUUGAAAUCAAACCAAUUUCACUAUAUUAUCAUAAGAUAGUCGCUAUUAUUGUUAACCUGACCUCAUCAUUGGGCAGUCGACUGGGAAACUGUGGCAAUAUUCUGGAGCUUCAAGUACUCACACAACUACAUCACGUCCAUUGACUCCCACAACUGGCCAUCAAAACUAAAAUCCUCAAACUAGAAAACUGCUUUUAGAGAGCAUAUCAAUCAAAUUAUUUGCAAUAAACUAACGUCUUUGAAGACAUUAAUCGCAUUAAAUCAUCACUUGUUUGCUAACCGUACGACACAUUCACAAGAAAGAUGUCUAAAUCAAAGGAAAUAUCAUUGGAAAAGCAAAAGCGUGAUUCAGCUCUGGGAACUGAUGGUAAAUCUUCGCAGAUUAAGAUUGGCUACAAAAAAGAGGACAAAAAGGAAAGGGAUGACCAAAAGGGAAACAAUCCGUGGGGUCCUAUGUUUAAGAGUCGCGACCACUUCAACCAAUUGCAUCACUUUUAAAGUGAUCAUCACUUAUGAUAAUAAAAUGUUAUAAUUCAAUAUAAUAUCAUUUUAUAAAUAUAUAUAUAUACAGUAUAUAUUACAG